UACGUAGGUGGCAAGCGUUGUCCGGAUUUACUGGGCGUAAAGAGCGCGCAGGCGGCUGGGCAAGUCCGAUGUGAAAGCUUCCGGCUUAACUGGAAAAUUGCAUCGGAAACUGCUCGGCUUGAAGGUGGGAGAGGGUAGCGGAAUUCCCGGUGUAGUGGUGAAAUGCGUAGAUAUCUGGAGGAACACCGGUGGCGAAGGCGGCAUCCUGGACCGACACUGACGCUGAGGAGCGAAAGCCAGGGGAGCAAACGGG
rnacentral:rRNA from 1 species